ACCAAAUAAGAAAUACUAGAUAACCAUAUAUAGAUAUAUAUGUACAAUAUUGUAUCCAAAUAACAUAUAUUUAUUAAAGAGUCCCAGCAAAAAGUGUUUUUGGAGAGAAGAACCUUUUGAAGAUGGUGCUUUUUUGGAGGUCAGUCUGUUAUCCUCCUUCGUGUUCAAGUAGAUAAAACUUUGGUCUUGGUUAACCCUUGUCUGCCUCAUCCUGUCUGGAUUACCUGGUUAAACUCUGCUUGCUUGAGCCUGUCCUGGGCCGCCUGGUAAACCUUUGCCUACUUGUUUAACCAGCCUAAGACUGUGGGCUCUCUGUUUUUGCCUGGAUUAUCCAAUCAAGACUUUCCUUUUGUUUUCUUGGUCCUGGCUCUACACUGUAUGGUCUUGUCCUUGAACUUUCCAGUUUAUUUGUUUUACUCAAUAAAGACUUGAAGUGA